GAAGGAUCCAGUGUGGAUAGCUUUGAGAAGGUCUCAGAUGAAGUGAAAGCUGUUAAGAAAGUUAAACAGUCCCACUUCGUCACAACCGGUCUCUCCGCUGGGCUCGUUUCCCCAGCGUGGCGCAGGGCACCGGCGUGGAACAGGGAGGUGCAGAGGGCUGUAUUUCAUUUCUCCUGAGGGCUGGGCCAUACGUGGGGGACUAAACACUCCUAGCCCCCCUCCUCCCGCAGAGCGGGGCUGGCGCCCGUGGCAGGUUCGAGGGGAGAACUGCCCUUUCUGAUGCCCCAGAACCAGACUGUCCCAUGCAGUAUCAAUCUCCCGCCAUUAAGCUCCCGCUCUCGCAGCUUCUCUCCCUUCUCCAGCCCCCCAACCCAUGUCCUGUGCGUCAUUCCUCCUCUCUUCCCUCUGCCCUUCCUCCCCCAUGGCAGCUCCCAUCUGCCCCCACAUGGGCUUCAGUUCCCCCCACAACUGCCCCCUCUAGGCCUGGGCUCAGGAAUGCUAGAGUGAUGAUUCCACUGGUGUGUCAUGGCUGAACUUCAGCGUGACGCACCCCACUGAGGGCCAUGGGGGAGCUCACCCCUGGCCGAGCUCUUGUUUCAGGCUCUCUGCAGACACAGGCAGAUGUCAUGAUCACCUUUGAAGGGUUUCUUCGCCACCAGAAGGGCUAGAUGCUCAGAUUCUGAAUAUGGGCCCAGGCCACAUCACGGCACCAAGCGGGCGAGAUGCAGCCUGUGGGCGGCUUGACUGGCAGCCCCGCAGGGGACGAUGCUGGAGCUGCCUUCUGUCAGAGGAGCUGUUACACCUGGGUCCUCACCACUCCUGGGCCCUGAAGAUCCUGUCGCGCUUCCUGUAAGGAAGGCCAACACCACUUGCCUGGCGAACAAUACCUGUCCACCCACCACCUACUGAGAAGGAGGCGGAAGCUUGGCGGGGUGAUGGCUCCCUCUUUUCUGACGUACCCACCGGGAACGCGGGGCUGUAUAUAAGGAGGGGACAUGCUGCCUGCCUGACACUUCAUUCAGCAGCCAGGACAGCAAGCGCCAGGGAAGAGCAGAGCCAGCAAAGGCUAUUUCCAGAGAUGAACCUGAUGCUUCAAGUCACCUUCCUUGGUCUCCUGUCCCUGCUGGUGCAGGGCUGGGUUCAGAACCGAUCCCUGCAGAGUGAGAGAUGGAGCAUGCUGGACCUGCCGCAGAACAGAGAGCUGUUCCUAAGUGCCCUGCAGAGCUACUUCAGCAGCAGAGGGAUCCACAUGGAGAAAACUGGGCCGGCCUUCGUGCUGUCCACGAGGAAUCGCAACCUGGGGGACCAGGGAGAACGAGAGCUGGUGGCCCCCGAGAGGGCGGUAGAUGACUAGGAAGAGCUGAUGGCAGGUGGAGUCUUGGCAAUACGAUCUGAGUACGUCACAGUGAUGCAUUGACUCUCUCCUGCCGCUGCGCUGCUGUGCACACACACACACACGCACACACACAUGUACACACACACACGCACACGAGUGACCUUUUUAUAUCUGCUGGGCUCUGCCUGCAAUGCUGCGCUGUAGGUUUUGGAUUCAAUAAA